rnacentral:rRNA from 1 species
GUACACUCCUGCGGGAGGCAGCAGUGGGGAAUAUCGGACAAUGGGCGCAAGCCUGAUCCAGCCAUGCCGCGUAAGUGAUGAAGGCCCUAGGGUUGUAAAGCUCUUUCACCGGUGAAGAUAAUGACGGUAACCGGAGAAGAAGCCCCGGCUAACUUCGUGCCAGCAGCCGCGGUAAUACGAAGGGGGCGAGCGUUGUUCGGAUUUACUGGGCGUAAAGCGCACGUAGGCGGACUAUUAAGUCAGGGGUGAAAUCCCGGGGCUCAACCCCGGAACUGCCUUUGAUACUGGUAGUCUUGAGUACGAGAGGGGUGAGUGGAAUUCCGAGUGUAGAGGUGAAAUUCGUAGAUAUUCGGAGGAACACCAGUGGCGAAGGCGGCUCACUGGCUCGAUACUGACGCUGAGGUGCGAAAGCGUGGGGAGCAAACAGGAUUAGAAACCCGAGUAGUCCC